UACGGGGGGAGCAAGCGUUGUUCGGAUUUACUGGGCGUAAAGGGCGCGUAGGCGGCGUGGCAAGUCACUUGUGAAAUCUCCGGGCUUAACUCGGAACGGUCAAGUGAUACUGCUGUGCUAGAGUGCGGAAGGGGCAACUGGAAUUCUUGGUGUAGCGGUGAAAUGCGCAGAUAUCGGGAGGAACACCAAUUGCGAAGGCAGCUUGCUGGGACGUUACUGACGCUGAGACGCGAAAGCGUGGGGAGCAAACAGG
rnacentral:rRNA from 1 species